AGGAAAGAAUCACAUUAUUUUUAUGCCGGCGACAUCUUAAGCACUAGAUUGGAUUGCUCUUUGAUAGUUGCUUCCAAUGGUCUGGAGUAUACAGUCUGCUUACACCAUUAGAAAUUAAGUCGACAAAGUCACUUACACUCAGUAUACGCCAAUUGUGGCUCUACUGAGAUUUCAGACAGAAAGGUUUCUUGCAUUAAGCCUCUCAUUUGUGUUCGCGGUGGUCUGUUUAUCAUCGACCAGAAAUCAAAACUUGGGUUCAGGUAAAUAGUCUACUACUUCGACUCGCAUUACAAGUUUAGGAUCAUUUAGAACAAGACACUGAGUGUCAAAGUGAAGCAAGCAAAAGAGAUUGAGCUCUUUUGGCUGGAAUUGAUGACCACUUUAGCUGCUUUUCUAGGCAAAGAGUGAGGAGUGAGGGUAACACCUAGAAUGGCAUCUGAGGACAGGAUGGUGAACAAAGGAAAGAGAUAAAGGUAAAGGCAUGGCAUCGCAGAUUACUUGUGCAACCAACAUAAAUACUGCAGAUACUGUGAAAAAGUUGCGGAUAGAGCUUUAGCAUGACAAGGAUGCGGGAACAACUAAAACAAGAGUGAUGCAGUAAUUCAACAAGUCUGAUUCUGAUCAAUGAAAAUUGUAACUGUGCCAGCGAUAGAAAAAUAUCAUUGGAGAUCUACCAAUAAUCACAUUUACUCUAUUUCUUCACCUUUACUUGAUACGAUAAUUCAACCUUUUUACUUUCCCCUAGCUUCAAGUAAAGCACAAAUUGUGAGAAAACAAGGAGCUUCUUCACUAACUAGAUGGUGAUGCGUCCUUUUGCUUUUCAGUCAGUAAUAGUCAAGAUUCUUGCCGUGCGUUCUAGGCAGACAUUUUGUUAUCAGGAAGGUAAACCACCGAGGAUGUUAUGAGCCUUAGCUGCCUGAUUUUGAGUCUUAUACUCUUGUCUUCUAGGCAUAUGCAAAUCCCUUACCACAUCAAUAUAAGUAGGACCAGAGCAUUUGAGAGAGCGCAACUAGCUUACAAAGAACACCUUACUGAGGACGAAUAGUGCAAGAAGUUCCACCGUGAAAGAUCAUGGCUACCGAGAGGUACUUAGCGGCCAUAAGAGGACAAGCAAACAUACUGCCAAGGUUGGAGGAGAGCAACCUCAAGAUGGUGCAUAUCAAGGAACCUCUUGUUGAUUGGCGAGAAUGGACGAUAUUGACAUAUAAUCAAAAUGUCCUGGGUAACUUAUUGAUAAGGGAAAAUAAGCUUCUCCAGAAGAGAAUUGAUGAGUAUGAGAUGAAGCUUAAAAUUCUCACUUCUCCUCCUCCUCCUCCUCCAACAUAUGCUGGUUGGCCUACUUGGAACACUAGCACACCGAGACCUCAAAUAGUCGACCUUGAUAUUGCCGCGUCAUCGAAAGAACACGAGCAAUAAAAAGUUUAUCUGCUAGAACCAUCCACAGAAAAUAAAAUUUCCGAAAGUGCUUUUGGGUAAUUAUGAGUGCAAGUCUGCAAUGGUGUAACAAAUAAACUGAAGAUAGCCGUGAACUUCUAUUUGUGUGUGAUGUGAGGGUGAUGAAAGUGUGCUUCCUUAAUGAUGUAAUCAUGCAUCUGUCUGCAAUAAGAGUGUUUGUGUUAUUGUUA